rnacentral:rRNA from 1 species
CUCCUACGGGGCGCAGCAGUGAGGAAUAUUGGUCAAUGGGCUUACGCCUGAACCAGCCAAGUCGCGUGAGGGAAGACUGCCCUAUGGGUUGUAAACCUCUUUUGUCAGGGAGCAAUUGGCGCUACGUGUAGCGUUAUCGAGAGUACCUGAAGAAAAAGCAUCGGCUAACUACGUGCCAGCAGCCGCGGUAAUACGUAGGGUGCGAGCGUUAAUCGGAAUUACUGGGCGUAAAGGGUGCGCAGGCGGUUGAGUAAGACAGAUGUGAAAUCCCCGAGCUUAACUCGGGAAUGGCAUAUGUGACUGCU